GUAGCUUGCUACUUAACUUAGCGGCGGACGGGUGAGUAAUACUUAGGAAUCUGCCUAUUAGUGGGGGACAACAUUUCGAAAGGAAUGCUAAUACCGCAUACGUCCUACGGGAGAAAGCAGGGGAUCACUUGUGACCUUGCGCUAAUAGAUGAGCCUAAGUCGGAUUAGCUAGUUGGUGGGGUAAAGGCCUACCAAGGCGACGAUCUGUAGCGGGUCUGAGAGGAUGAUCCGCCACACUGGGACUGAGACACGGCCCAGACUCCUACGGGAGGCAGCAGUGGGGAAUAUUGGACAAUGGGGGGAACCCUGAUCCAGCCAUGCCGCGUGUGUGAAGAAGGCCUUUUGGUUGUAAAGCACUUUAAGCGAGGAGGAGGCUACUCUAGUUAAUACCUAGAGAUAGUGGACGUUACUCGCAGAAUAAGCACCGGCUAACUCUGUGCCAGCAGCCGCGGUAAUACAGAGGGUGCGAGCGUUAAUCGGAUUUACUGGGCGUAAAGCGUGCGUAGGUGGCCAAUUAAGUCAAAUGUGAAAUCCCCGAGCUUAACUUGGGAAUUGCAUUCGAUACUGGUUGGCUAGAGUAUGGGAGAGGAUGGUAGAAUUCCAGGUGUAGCGGUGAAAUGCGUAGAGAUCUGGAGGAAUACCGAUGGCGAAGGCAGCCAUCUGGCCUAAUACUGACACUGAGGUACGAAAGCAUGGGGAGCAAACAGGAUUAGAUACCCUGGUAGUCCAUGCCGUAAACGAUGUCUACUAGCCGUUGGGGUCUUUGAGACUUUAGUGGCGCAGCUAACGCGAUAAGUAGACCGCCUGGGGAGUACGGUCGCAAGACUAAAACUCAAAUGAAUUGACGGGGGCCCGCACAAGCGGUGGAGCAUGUGGUUUAAUUCGAUGCAACGCGAAGAACCUUACCUGGUCUUGACAUAGUAAGAACUUUCCAGA
rnacentral:rRNA from 1 species